rnacentral:rRNA from 1 species
GACGAACGCUGGCGGCGUGCUUAACACAUGCAAGUCGAACGGAAAGGCCCUGCGUUUGUGGGGUGCUCGAGUGGCGAACGGGUGAGUAACACGUGAGUAACCUGCCCUUGACUUUGGGAUAACUUCAGGAAACUGGGGCUAAUACCGGAUAUGAGCUCCUGCUGCAUGGUGUGGGUUGGAAAGUUUCGGCGGUUGUGGAUGGACUCGCGGCUUAUCAGCUUGUUGGUGGGGUAGUGGCUUACCAAGGCUUUGACGGGUAGCCGGCCUGAGAGGGUGACCGGCCACAUUGGGACUGAGAUACGGACCAGACUCGUACGGGAGGCAGCAGUGGGGAAUAUUGCAGAAUGGGCGGAAGCCUGAUGCAGCAACGCCGCGUGCGGGAUGACGGCCUUCGGGUUGUAAACAGAUUUCGCCUGUGACGAAGCGUGAGUGACGGUAAUGGGUAAAGAAGCACCGGCUAACUACGUG